CUGCGGCAAUAUCAGGUUGAAACACCAGCUCCCGUACGAUCCCCGAAGUUAAGCAACGUCAAGACGGGUCAGUACCUAGAUGGGACACCGCUUGGGAAAACUAGGUGCUGUAAG